UCGCCGAGUGGAUUUCUCUUGCUCGGGGGCAUCAUCCAUGUACAUCUUCGCUCCUUAGCGCGUCCGGUAUCUCCGUUCUCAGCUCCCUGCUACCGCUACCGUCCUACAGGGGGAGGGUGGUUCUUUUGGUCCACGUCAAGCCAUUAUUUGGCCCCCAUCGUCCUCUCUUCUGACGGCAAACCCCUCUAAGAAAAGGAGAAAUUAAGGGGCACGAGUGGAGGGGAUGACGCGAGGGCGGCUUCCUCCGCCAUGGCCGUACCACCGGACACCAACGGUCCUUCUCCGGCGCCUGCUGCCUCUGCCUCCACCUCCGCGACAUCCAUCUCCUCUCCCCUUAAGAGGGCUGGAACUUGCCGCCGAGAGCGGGACCAACUCACUAUGCCCAACGUGGACACGGUUGAGGAGGAGGAGAAUCGCGACGGUGGUCAGAGGGAUCGAUCUCAGUAACCCUCGAGACGGACUCGGAGAGAAGCCCCUGUUAAACUUCUUCUCACGUGUAUUCGUGGUCCAGACGCCAGCAUGGAAUAUUAAGGAGACCGAUGGAGAACCUACGGAGGUUUACAGAGGGAAAUAAAUGGAGAACAAAUGCUAACGAGAAACCGAGAAUAGAUCGAGUGUGAUGCUUCGGUACUCAAAGCCCGCAUGACUUGCUGUGAAAACACUGCUGAUGUUCUUCAACCUCCACCUGGAAGAAGCUUGUUCGCUAUACCAUGCCACUGACUGGUUUCUAAGCCAGCAUAUUUGCUGCCCAGAAAAGGAGACAUAAAGCAACAAUCCGAUACCACCGAUGCUUCAAACAUCCAGCUGGAAUUUGCAGCUUGUCUGCUAAUUGCUACUGUAUUGCUGGGCCUGUCUCAAUAGGCUGAACCAAGUCACACCUCAUCCAUGGCUCCAACUCAGCCUCCAAGCUACCAUGUCCACCUAAUAGGAAGCGGAGGAAGGAGAGACCACAUAUAGACCAAAAAAGGACACCAAGAGAAAGGAGGGAUGAUGCAAAAAUUAUUGAAGAUCAAAUGCUCAAGACUUGGGAAGGGCACGAUAGCUACAAAAAUCAGCCAUUGAAGCAUGCAGGUCGCUGAUCAAUUCAAUAAAGAGAUAAGACAUUGGGGCAGCAAUUAAAAUAUUUUAGGCCCCCAUCCAGCUACAAGGACCAUUUGUAAAGCAAGGAGUUACUGGAAUGUCAUCCAACAACCCCAAAUUUAUUGUUCAUUGGUUAUCUUUUGAAUUUUCUUUAAUUUUUUAAUAUACAAAUGUCAUAUUAGUUUUGAAGUUAAUAGAAGCAAGGUUUUACGUCCUGGAGGACAUCCUAGUGAUCCCAUCCCUAUGAGAACAUAAGACUAGGAUGAUGUCGGGAUUUUCGAAAUCCAUCCAUGCAGAGAGAAGAAGAAGAAAGAGGAAAGAAAGAAAGAAAAGAUAAAUAAAAGGAAAAACUGAAAGGAAAGGAAAAAAAAUGAAAGAAAGAAAGGAAAGGAGAAGAAAAAGAAAAAA